GUGCCAGCAGCCGCGGGUAAUACGUAGGUGGCAAGCGUUGUCCGGAAUUAUUGGGCGUAAAGGGCUCGCAGGCGGGUUUCUUAAGUCUGGAUGUGAAAGCCCCCGGCUCCAACCGGGGAGGGUCAUUGGAAACUGGGGAACUUGAGUGCAGAAGAGGAGAGUGGAAUUCCACGUGUAGCGGUGAAAUGCGUAGAGAUGUGGAGGAACACCAGUGGCGAAGGCGACUCUCUGGUCUGUAACUGACGCUGAGGAGCGAAAGCGUGGGGAGCGAACAGGAUUAGAUACCCUGGUAGUCC
rnacentral:rRNA from 1 species